rnacentral:rRNA from 1 species
UACAGGGGGGGCAAGCGUUACUCGGAAUUACUGGGCGUAAAGCGUGCGCAGGCGGUGAUGUAAGACAGAUGUGAAAUCUCCCGGCUCAACUGGGAGGGUGCGCCGAAAACUGGGGGGCUAGAGUGCGGGAUGGGAGAGUGGAAUUCCUGGUGUAGCGGUGAAAUGCGUAGAUAUCAGGAGGAACACCUGUGGUGUAGACGGCUCUCUGGACCGCAACUGACGCUGAGACACGAAAGCGUGGGUAGCAAACAGG